AAGAAGAGCCAUCUAUUGGAGCGCGUGAGAAGCUCCAACCAAAGAUCAAUGGCAAUACUAUCACCGAGCACACCGCAUCGAUUACGUCACGCGAUGUCAAGAAACCACAACAGAUGGCGCUGAAGCACACCUAUAAAAACGAUUGCACGGACGCUUAACGUCUCUCAUUCUCAUUUGAACUUUCAACUGAAAUAUUGUAAACGCUUUAUUGUAAAGUAAUAAAUCCCAGUAUAUCUUCAAAGUCGCCUGAUUUACCCGUGUUGAUCCAUACACACAAGAAGAUUAGGAGUCACAGACAAUAGCUAGAAAUUAGAAGCCUAGGAACACACUCUGAACACGCAAACAUUGGACCUUCAGAGCCGCAUCAUCCAUCAUCACAUCGAGGGAUCAGCAAAGGGUACCGUGUUGUGCUUCCUCACGAGUCACGUACGCAGUUUACAGGAAUUUGACCCCAACGACUACUCUCCACUCACUCCUGCCCACUUCACUAUUGGUCGGCCGCUGACUGCACCUGCAGAAAGUGAUAUUACCGCUGCAACCACGAACACACUCAAUCGUUACCAGCGAGUUGAACAGCUGAGGCAGACAUUUUGGAGGAGAUGGUCUACAGAGUACAUAUCAGAGCUUCAGAAACGUACUAAAUGGCAACAGAAAACUGAAGACUUGCAAACUGGAACAUUGGUUGUCAUAAAGGACGAUAACCUUCCGCCGCUGAAAUGGCGGUUAGGACGCAUAAUAACUCUGAUUUCAGGCAGUGACGGCGUACCAAGGGUUGCUGUCAUUCGGACGGCCACGGGCGUCAUACACAGGGCAUUCUCAAAGAUAUGCCCACUUCCGGUCGCUGAGGUGCCAGGUUCGAGGCUCGGCGCGUGACACG